UACAGAGACUGCAAGCGUUAUUCGGAUUCACUGGGCGUAAAGGGUGCGCAGGCGGUUGGGUGUGUCAGAUGUGAAAUCCCGAGGCUUAACCUCGGAACUGCGUCUGAAACUACUCGACUAGAGUACUGGAGAGGGAAACGGAAUUCACGGUGUAGCAGUGAAAUGCGUAGAUAUCGAUGAGGAACACCAGAGGCGAAGGCGGUUUCCUGGACAGUUACUGACGCUCAGGCACGAAAGCAUGGUGAGCAAAAGGG
rnacentral:rRNA from 1 species